GAAAAAAUAAAAUCAUUAUUUAAUCAACAGUGAGCUAAUCUGGUAUGGCACAGGAAAGUUUUUGAAUAUUAACAAUAGGUUAAUUCUGUAAUUUAAAAUAGAUGACAAUGCUAUCGCAACCACCACCAUGUUUUUAACAUCUGUAUGCAUAAUUUUUCAAGGAAGAAAGAACCUUGAAGCAUCCCGUGGCCUUAAUCUCUUAGAAAUCCUAAGGGAUGCUUGAGCCAAUUAAUAAAGAGCCCCUUCACUUGAAGUAUUUGAAAGCCAACAUUUGUGGUGAACAGGCAACAUCAGCUAAUCACAUAUUAAGGAUGAUUCCUUUGUUCACUGUGUGAAAGUGGUUUGUAGCAGACAUUCUUAUAUUCCCAUACUCAAUAUUUAUUUUCUCAAAGCCAAACUAAUUCCAAGAGCUAAUGUGACCUUUCAAUAGUAUUUUUUGCCCAUCUCUUAGAAAACAAUUUAAGGGGUUUCACUAUAUUAGGGGGAUUUUCCAUUUUUUCCUACUCUUCAAAAGAUUUGUCUUUCAUCUUCUUUUUCUUUCUCUCCAGCUACAAAAUGUGCUCAUUACGGGCCUAUCUGCCAGCAACAAAAGGGAGGAGACUCCUAUUUCAGCAGUUAGAAGAUGGGAAGCAUUCAACCAGCCACCUAUUCUGGAAGAUACUAUUGGAAAGGGCACUUGACAAUGUUCUUCCUGGAUUCUCAGGUAGGUAUAAAAUAAUACCAAAUAAUUGUGAGAUAACUCGCAUGUCCUUGAACCCUGAUCUGCCCCCCCCACACACACAAAGGAGUGUAUUUGUAAUGGUUAUUUUAGUUUUAAGCAACAAAAAUAAAAUUUAGCUAGUGUCACCAAAAAUAAUAAUAAUAAUAAUAAUAAAAUUUUCAGAGUAGAAAAGUUGCUAAAAAGU
rnacentral:lncRNA from 1 species